GAUGAACGCUGGCGGCGUGCCUAACACAUGCAAGUCGAGCGAACAGACCAGGAGCUUGCUCCUCUGACGUUAGCGGCGGACGGGUGAGUAACACGUGGAUACCCUACCUAUCAGACUGGGAUCACUUCGGGACACCGGCGCUAAUCCCGGAUAAUCUAUUGCACCGCAUGGUUCAAUAGUGAAAGACGGUUUUGCUGUCACUUCUCGAUGCAUCCGGGCCGCAUUAGCUAGUUGGUAAGGUAACGGCUUACCAAGGCAACGAUGCGUAGCCGACCUGAGAGGGUGAUCGGCCACACUGGAGCUGAGACGCGGACCAGACGCCUACGGGAGGCAGCAGAAGGGAAUCGGCCGCAGUGGGCGAAAGCCUGACGGAGCAACGGCGCGUGAGUGAUGAAGGUCUUCGGAGCGGAAAAAUCUGUUAUUAGGGAAGAACAAAUGUGUAAGUAACUAUGCACGGCUUGACGGUACCGAAUCAGAAAGCCACGGCUAACUACGUG
rnacentral:rRNA from 1 species